rnacentral:sRNA from 1 species
UUCUAAACCCGACAGAAGCGAACACGAAGUGCAACGAAGUAAAGCGAAUGGCGGGACUUUCG